rnacentral:rRNA from 1 species
GCGAAGCAUAGAUGUGGAAGUUUUCGGAUGGAAGCAGAUAUGACUGAGCGGCGGACGGGUGAGUAACGCGUGGGUAACCUGCCUCAUACAGGGGGAUAACAGUUAGAAAUGACUGCUAAUACCGCAUAAGCGCACAGGACCGCAUGGUCCGGUGUGAAAAACUCCGGUGGUAUGAGAUGGACCCGCGUCUGAUUAGGUAGUUGGUGGGGUAAAGGCCUACCAAGCCGACGAUCAGUAGCCGGCCUGAGAGGGCGGACGGCCACAUUGGGACUGAGACACGGCCCAAACUCCUACGGGAGGCAGCAGUGGGGAAUAUUGCACAAUGGGGGAAACCCUGAUGCAGCAACGCCGCGUGAGUGAAGAAGUAUUUCGGUAUGUAAAGCUCUAUCAGCAGGGAAGAAGAUGACGGUACCUGACUAAGAAGCCCCGGCUAACUACGUGCCAGCAGCCGCGGUAAUACGUAGGGGGCAAGCGUUAUCCGGAUUUACUGGGUGUAAAGGGAGCGUAGACGGCGAGACAAGUCUGAAGUGAAAGCCCGGGGCUCAACCCCGGGACUGCUUUGGAAACUGUUUUGCUAGAGUGCUGGAGAGGUAAGUGGAAUUCCUAGUGUAGCGGUGAAAUGCGUAGAUAUUAGGAGGAACACCAGUGGCGAAGGCGGCUUACUGGACAGUAACUGACGUUGAGGCUCGAAAGCGUGGGUAGCAAACAGGAUUAGAUACCCUGGUAGUCCACGCCGUANACGAUGAAUGCUAGGUGUUGGGGAGNAAAGCUUUUCGGUGCCGUCGCAAACGCAA